UACGUAGGCAGCGAGCGUUGUUCGGAAUUACUGGGCGUAAAGAGUGUGUAGGCGGUGCUCUAAGUUCGGUGUGAAAUCUCCUGGCUCAACUGGGAGGGUGCGCCGGAAACUGGAGUGCUUGAGCGUGGGAGAGGAAAGCGGAAUUCCUGGUGUAGCGGUGAAAUGCGUAGAUACCAGGAGGAACACCAAUAGCGAAGGCAGCUCGCUGGGACGUACUGACACUGAGAUGCGAAAGCGUGGGGAGCAAACAGG
rnacentral:rRNA from 1 species